rnacentral:rRNA from 1 species
CCUGGCGGCCAUAGCGCGGUGGCACCACCUGAACCCAUGCCGAACUCAGAAGUGAAACGCCGUAGCGCCGAUGGUAGUGUGGGGUCUCCCCAUGCGAGAGUAGGAAACUGCCAGGC